UACGGAGGGUGCAAGCGUUAUCCGGAUUUACUGGGUUUAAAGGGUGCGCAGGCGGAUAUGUAAGUCAGUGGUGAAAUCUCCGGGCUUAACCCGGAAACUGCCGUUGAUACUAUAUAUCUUGAAUGCUGUGGAGGUAAGCAGAAUAUGUCAUGUAGCGGUGAAAUGCUUAGAUAUGACAUAGAAUACCUAUUGCGAAGGCAGCUCGCUGGGACGUCACUGACGCUGAGACGCGAAAGCGUGGGGAGCAAACAGG
rnacentral:rRNA from 1 species